AAAUGACUCUCGGCAACGGAUAUCUCGGCUCUCGCAUCGAUGAAGAACGUAGCGAAAUGCGAUACUUGGUGUGAAUUGCAGAAUCCCGUGAACCAUCGAGUUUUUGAACGCAAGUUGCGCCCGAAGCCUUUUGGCCAGGGCACGUCUGCCUGGGCGUCACAC
rnacentral:rRNA from 9 species